rnacentral:rRNA from 1 species
UACGAAGGGUGCAAGCGUUACUCGGAAUUACUGGGCGUAAAGCGUGCGUAGGUGGUUUGUUAAGUCUGAUGUGAAAGCCCUGGGCUCAACCUGGGAAUUGCAUUGGAUACUGGCAGGCUAGAGUGCGGUAGAGGGUAGUGGAAUUCCCGGUGUAGCGGUGAAAUGCGUAGAGAUCGGGAGGAACACCAGUGGCGAAGGCGGCUACCUGGACCAGCACUGACACUGAGGCACGAAAGCGUGGGGAGCAAACAGG